rnacentral:lncRNA from 1 species
UGCAGAAGCCCAAAGAAUCAUGAACAUUUUAUUUAAAAGUUUGUUAAACAAAUUCAUAAAGGAAAUCAUAAAACAAUUCAUAAUAUGCUUAAAAUUUGCUUUUAUGGACAAAGUGAUUUUCAUUCUCCCUGUUCUAACUCUUGCAUAUGAGAUAAAGUUGGGAAAACUUAUUUAACAAUCUCUGCCUCACUUUACAUGUUAAGUAUUGACAGAAAUGUGGUAUUUUAUGUUACUCUUUAUUCUUUACUCAAAUUUCUAAGUAAUUAAAAAAUAUUUGAGAUUCCUUCUUAUCAAACUCGGGGAUCACUUCUUCCAUUUCUGGGGCCCUAUGCUGAGCUGACACACAAUUUUGCAAACUUUUUAAUUUUAUGAAAGAUUGAAAAAUUCUAUAAAGUUUUCCUUAGAAAAUAAGCAACAUUCAGUAAUCAAGUUCCUAUCUACAUUAAAAGCUCUUUUCGAUUUUUUUUAAUCUUUUCAAGCUUUGAAGGUUAUUAAUAUUUUGUGAAUGGUAGGGUGAAUUUUUAAAUUUGCUAUAUUCAGCUACAAUAAAAAUCUUAAAUAUACUCUCACUUUCAAAGGAAACAAGCUUAAUUUUUAGUAUCAAUGUUUUUUUGCAGAGAUGGGAAAAAAUGACUAAUUCAGCAAUGUAAAAGUCACAUGUGUUCUAAAAUAAGCUUUAGUAGUCGAAUUGGGACAAAGGAAAUUACAAUGGAAAAUGCUCUUAAAGGUGAAAUUUGAAGGCAAGAUCUGCUCAUUAUGAAAUCUAGUCACCACUCUUCUGUUUCCCAUCUUGAACAUUAAACAUCCAAACAAAUGGCCACUUAACACUGACAAACCCUAGUAGGUGAAACGACUUAGUCUCUCAAUGACCUAUCGAUGUUCUUUUUCUUUAAGUAAAUAACCUCUUUAAAAAAACAAAAAUUAUCUUCCCCCAAUAGUAAUGGCCAUAAUUUUUCCUCAUAAUGGCUCAUUCAUUAUCAAUUAUAUAUUUUAUUAAAACACGUUCAAAGCUAAGAGGUGACUCUGCUAAUAUACACUGGCAACUAUUGACAGAUUUUGAGGAGUUGCUUAAUGUCUAGAAUUCUAAUGUGAUUUCUCUUCGUGAUAUUGAAGCAAGAACUGAGUGAUCUCUUCUGUUUUUUUAAAGCACUUCUCUCCUUCAUGUGCCCAUUAAGGUAUGCUCACAAAUACUUCAGCACUUGCCACUAAUUAUGCUCACUCCUGAGCUGUGGGUCCUUUGCUUUUAAGUACUUUUAUUCCCCAUAUGGGUGGCAAUCCCUUGCCACCAUGCUUGCCAAGACUUUUGUCAUUAGAGCUCCUCAAAUAAUUCCAUUACUCCAUGGGAAUUCCCUGUAGCAAUUUCUAAAAUGUUACCCAGGAUUACUGGGCUUAAUUAUCUGAGGUUUCCAACUUUUGUCCUCUAAGACUGGGUUUUCCCAGAAGCUUCAGGCAUCUGAUCAUGACUACAAUCUUUCUAGCAGCCCUUUCCUUUCCCUUUCUGUUUCAGAUCUUCUUUCUAAGGAAUAUAGGGAAAAUAUUUCACGCACAUAGCAAGCUAAAUUGUCUUGCAGACUAUCUUUAUAUCUACUUGAUAUAACUUUUAAAAAUCAAAUCAAAUUCAAAUGAAUAAAAAUCCAUCUUUCUCUUCCUUCCAUUUCCCUCUCACUGAGGAAAAAGCAAACAAAGAAACCAAGUAAGGAUAGUCAAGCACAACCAAUUCCUGCACUAGCCAUGUCCAAAAAACACUUCUUGGUUUGCAUUCAGAGAUCAUCACCUGUUAGGAUGAGAGGCAAGGUUCAUCCUGGUACCUCUUGUAUCAUGGUUGGCCAUUAUGGUGAAGAGAGUUGUUAAGUGUUAGGUAACUUUAAAGAAGAAUGUCAAUAAAAUUCUUUAGGAAAAUCAAGUCUUCUGUGCAAAGCAU